UACGUAGGUGGCAAGCGUUGUCCGGAAUCACUGGGCGUAAAGCGCGCGCAGGCGGCGAUCUACGUCUGGGGUGAAAGCCCGGAGCUCAACUCCGGGACUGCCUUGGAUACGGGAUCGCUUGAGGAUUGGAGAGGCAAGGGGAAUUCCACGUGUAGCGGUGAAAUGCGUAGAUAUGUGGAGGAACACCUGUGGCGAAGGCGCAUUGCUGGCCAAUUUCUGACGCUGAGGCGCGAAAGCGUGGGGAGCAAACAGG
rnacentral:rRNA from 1 species